rnacentral:rRNA from 1 species
AAGUCGAACGAAGUCUUCGGACUUAGUGGCGCACGGGUGAGUAACAUGUGGGAAUCUACCUAAAGGUUCGGAAUAACUGCGGGAAACUGUAGCUAAUACCGGAUGUGUCUGCAAAGAGAAAGAUUUAUCGCCUUUAGAUGAGCCCGCACUAGAUUAGCUAGUUGGUGAGGUAAUUGCUCCACCAAGGCUACGAUCUAUAGCUGAUUUGAGAGGAUGAUCAGCCACACUGGGACUGAGACACGGCCCAGACUCCUACGGGAGGCAGCAGUAGGGAAUAUUGGACAAUGGGGGAAACCCUGAUCCAGCAAUGCCGCGUGAGUGAAGAAGGCCCUCGGGUUGUAAAACUCUUUCAUCAAUGAUGAUAAUGACAUUAGUUGAAGAAGAAGCUCCGGCUAACUUCGUGCCAGCAGCCGCGGUAAUACGAAGGGGGCUAGCGUUGUUCGGAAUCACUGGGCGUAAAGCGUAUGUAGGCGGAUCAAAAAGUUAGAUGUGAAAUCCCUGGGCUCAACCCAGGAACUGCAUUUAAAACUAGUGAUCUAGAAUUUGGUAAGGGUUAGUAGAAUUUCCAGUGUAGAGGUGAAAUUCGUAGAUAUUGGAAAGAAUACCAGAAGCGAAGGCGACUAACUAGGCCAUUUUUGACGCUGAGAUACGAAAGCGUGGGUAGCAAACAGGAUUAGAUACCCUGGUAGUCCACGCAGUAAACGAUGAGUGCUAGUCGCUGGUACAUAGUAUCAGUGUCGUAGCUAACGCAUUAAGCACUCCGCCUGGGAAGUACGGUCGCAGGAUUAAA